CCACCGAAUAGGCGAUGCCAUUCUUGGGCUGCUUCAGGUGCAGCUUGUCGAGCAGGCGCUUGAACCGGUCCCGAUCCUCAGCGAGGUCGAUGGC
rnacentral:tRNA from 1 species